UACGGAGGAUGCAAGCGUUAUCCGGAAUGAUUGGGCGUAAAGCGUCCGCAGGUGGCUAUGUAAGUCUGCUGUUAAAGAGUGAGGCUCAACCUCAUAAGAGCAGUGGAAACUACAUGGCUAGAGUGCGUUCGGGGCAGAGGGAAUUCCAGGUGUAGCGGUGAAAUGCGUAGAUAUCUGGAGGAACACCGGUGGCGAAGGCGGCAUCCUGGACCGGCAUUGACGCUGAGGCGCGAAAGCCAGGGGAGCAAACGGG
rnacentral:rRNA from 1 species